rnacentral:tRNA from 1 species
GGGCGAUUAGCUCAGUUGGUAGAGCAUCUCGUUUACACCGAGGAGGUCGGCAGUUCGACCCUGUCAUCGCCCACCA